GGAGACCGCGUUUAGAGGAUCAGUGGCGGCGGCACCCGCGGCCCCGCGCGGCGCGGACGGCGGGCAGCACCGUGCCUGGGCCCCCUCCUGCUCCGCUCUCAAUCUGGGGCAUGACUUUGAAGGGAAGGUUGCUAAGCCUCCUAAAUCCCGAUACACACCAAUGCCGUUUCCCCACUCAUCUGGAAACCUGGUGGGUCCUGCCCAAACGCCUGUAUGUCAAUUCCACCUCCUGCUUGGCGACCCACCAUGCCCACAUUUUCCACUCAAGCCUUUCAGAUCUGCUUUGGGCACCUGAAGACAGAGAGAAUCAUCUUUCAAGAGUCAGAAACUUUGCACGUGCCAUUCCCUCUGCUUAGAAUGCUUUUCCCUUUCUCCCAAUUGCCUUAUCAUCAGCCUGGGAAAAUAUUUAUUUCGGCUCCUAAAAUCUCAGAUAUCACUUCUCCAGGAGCUUUCCCAGAUGCCUCACUUGAUUCCAGAAGGAGCUAUCGCCAC
rnacentral:lncRNA from 1 species